GACGAACGCUGGCGGCGUGCUUAACACAUGCAAGUGGAGCGACGAACCAGGGCUUGCCCUGGGGCAGAGCCGCGAACGGGUGAGUAACACGUGGGUAACGUGCCCCAAUGAUCGGGACAACCCGGGGAAACCCGGGCUAAUACCGAAUGUGCUCCCCUCACACCAGUGAGGGAUGGAAAGGAAGCUUCGGCCUCCGCAUUGGGAUCGGCCCGCGGCCCAUUAGCUUGUUGGUGAGGUAACGGCUCACCAAGGCUGCGAUGGGUAGCUGGUCUGAGAGGACGAUCAGCCACACUGGGACUGAGACACGGCCCAGACUCCUACGGGAGGCAGCAGUGGGGAAUCUUGCGCAAUGCGCGAAAGCGUGACGCAGCAACGCCGCGUGGGGGAAGAAGGCCUUCGGGUUGUAAACCCCUUUCAGGAGGGACGAAGCGUGGGCGGUUAAUAGCCGAUCCACGUGACGGUACCUCCAGAAGAAGCCCCGGCUAACUACGUGCCAGCCGCCGCGGUAACAC
rnacentral:rRNA from 1 species